UUUCAGUUAAGACUGUUGGCUGUAGCCUUUCAGAUGAUGGUUAUGAUGGCUUCUUCAACUAGUCGGUCUGUUUCCAGUUUAUCCCUGAAGAUCACAGGCUCAGAAGAUUUGCCAUCAACGUGGGUUAAGAAUUACAUGGAACAGCAGAGGGCGCCCUGCUCCACGUUUCUAGGACUGUAAAGCAAGUACCUGCCCAAUCCUGCCACUUGGAACUUGUGUGAAUGACAGCCGAACCUAAUUUCCACAAGAUCAGGAAGCUGCCUGUCCUCUUUAUUGUUAAAUCUUCAGCAUUAGCACUCAUUACACGCAUAAGUGUCUCCUCCUCAUCAGAGCUGCGGAAAUGCUGCCAAGAAAAACAAACUCAGCCAUUUUUAUUUUACUUCUUGACAUGUGUGUAUUCUACCAACACUGUCUGUUUUCUGCUUACUGACAAGUAAGGAAAGACCUGAAUGAGAAGACACUGUGGGUGGUCUACAUUUCCCUUUCCUUCGAUGUCACCAUUUUGGCAGGUGGCUAACACACGGAAGUAAGUUGAAUCAGAAAGGAUAUGAAAGGGACACUUGGCAGUCUGUGUUUCUCAGAAUGCCCCUGAACAGACAGCAUGACCUCUGGGGGCGGUCACUGUCCCCAUUUACUCAGUAGAUGUAACACACUUACUCCACAUUCACUGUGAUUCUCACUCUACCCCAUGUGUCCUGGGUACAGCUGACUUCUGUGUCCGGGGCAUCCUAAAUGUUAUAUGUGAGUGGGGAGGCAAGGAAUGGCAGUGGACACAUAGAUUACGCGUGUUUCCUCUGGUCCCAUGCAUGCUCCAUUGCCUCGUUGGACUUUACCUAUAGAACGCACGUUCAAUGAAAAAAUUAUUCAGGAUUUCAAGACGGGUACAGCAGAGCAUUAAACCACAUGCAGGGCCUUCUGAGUGUGGGUCCCUGUGUAACACAAAUCAUGAGCUCUUGAAGCCAGCCCUGAAGAAAAGUGUGAACAAAGAAAAUAAGUGGGUCUCAGACUGAUUGCAAGUUAAUUCCCAAGGAAUAAAUAUCCCGCAGAGCUCCCUAAAGCCUUUCUAUAGAGAAGUGCCGAAGUGUGGUUCAGCCCCCAAUCCUUAAGAGGAGACACAAGAAUUAACAGACAUGUUUUACUGAUUUUCACGUUGGCGUGUAUUAUCUCAGGUUCUAUCUCACGUUGGCAUGUAUUAUCUCAGGAUUUGCAAAUAAGGCUAGAACCUAUAAACACAUAAACCCAUCUUCCUAGGGAAAUUGUGUUUCUGAGUGUCCAAAGACCGACUUGCAAAUCUUCUUUUGGAACCCACUCUAUUUCUAAGGUAAAAAUUAUUUGCACAUGGGAGUCCUGGGAGACCAUUUGAUCUUUAGCAAGGCAGAGGAACAUCAGGCACCUUACUGAGAUUAUUAAGAGGUAGGUGGAGGCAACCAGGUACAGUGGGAUCCCUGGGCUGGAAGUCGGGAGACAUGGGUGGGAGGAUGACUCUGACAGGAAGUGUGUGAAGUUAAUCAACUCGCUUUCAAACACGGAGUCUCAUUUCUCUCUUUUGUGAAACAAGAAAGUUGGAUUUGAUAGUCUCCAAGGGCCAACACUGGGCUAAAAAUAACCAAAACCAAAAAAACUUUGUGACAGAGAAGGCAGAAAAAAAUGACAAAGUCACAUGGAACAACUUGAUAGUGAAUAAUCAACAGGAUGCUUUUAGAAACCUCUGCAGAUGGGUUCCCUUUGCAGGUCUUCUAAGUCCCCUGGCUGUUGAGGUCUGACUUCUGCUAAGCCAGGGGAGUGCGGGCUGGGGCAGGAUCUCCAGCAGCUUCUUCAGCUCCCCUGUCCUCCUGCCCACCAGUCCUCCUGCCCACCAGCUUGGGCAGUGCCUUUCCUCUGUCAUUCCCUAGUUCAACUUGGGCCAACUGGUGACCCUGGGCCAGAGAAAGAUCCUGAAUGACUUGGGAUCUCUUGGAUGUUUUUAUCACUACUCUUCUUGCUGUUAAUCCAUUCCUGGCCUCUGACCACCUAAAGUCUCUGGGAACACUGGUGGAAACAAAGCAAACAAGUGGCAAUAGAGUGUGGAAGAAAGUAAAUGGGGUGAACUCCUGAGAUCUAGCUUUGGCCUGUUACUAACAAACUGGGUGACUUCAAACAGAUCCUUUUCUUCCUGGAUCACUCACUGGAUUUUAUUUUUCCUCCACCUGAGCGAAGCCCUGUGUUCUGCUUGUGGAUACACCCCUCCUUUAUUAUGAAAUCAUAAUGUUUAGGUGGGACUGACCCUUUCCCCAGUUGGCAGAUCCCAUCCCUCUGGCCACAGUGCUGGGCCAGGGCUGAGAACAGGACUCAGUUACAGCCAACGAAAAUACUUGAGACCUGUAAUAGGACAUCUGAGGGAGAAAGGUUAUCUGUUCCAUAGAUUCUAGGUCAUGAGCAUAUGAGGCUUGGAGUUUCCGUCACCAUCUUGCUGUCAUGAAACAGCCAGCCUUGAAGUAAAGUCAAUACAUGAAUGUAGAAAAGCAGAGCAAAUAUAAAAGUAGACACAGUGUGUCUCAAUGACAUUUUAUGAACUUCUAGAUCAAACUGUGCCCCAAACCACAAGCCACCCCUGGAGUUAAGCUCAUUUAAACUGGUUUAAACAGCACUUUUGGUCACUUGCAAAGAUAAUAAUCCUAGCUACUGUACUUUACAUCUCUGAACCUCAGUUCCCUCUACUGCAAAACAGCUGUUUUGUGGAUAGUAAUUAGCAUAAGAGAGCAUAAUGGUAUUAUCUCUUUUAGGAGUGGCCAUAAC